AAAGAAAUAAAGGUUGGCAGCCGCACAUUCCCUCACACUCCUCCUCCUUUCGUUGUCUUUCCGGUGACCGGAGCCACACUUCCGGCGACUUCCGACACCCCUCUCUUUCAGGCGAACCAUACUCACAUCACACCACCACACCCUCGUUCUUUCUCUACCGUUUCGUCAAGCAACAUCAACGACAACGCAGAACUCCGGUGACGGUUAUCCUCCAGUGAUGAUGGUGAAGACGUUGGUGGCCGACGGCAGCCGAAACCACAACUAUAGACGAGGUGGUGGUCUUGGUUCGACUCUGCGUUGGCUCGGAUCAGAUCUCGGAGCAGGAUGAAAAAAAAAAAACGCAACCUCACACGUCCACCUAUUUCACGUUUUCUCCGGGAAUGGUUGACCAACUUGGAACGGGUAAUGUGACUUAACAUACCGAGCAAACCAAAGGUAGUUAGGUAUCUUGGAAUUGGGAAGCUUGCUAUCUGGGAGUGCUGGAGUGGUCAUGGAUCGAGGCUCUUGGAUUAAAAUACAUUUAAUACAUUGGUUUUAAGUGUUAUUACGAAACAAUUGCGCAACAACUUAUUACAUGCUUCCGCUACACAACUUUUGAGAAUUAAUAUUAUGUUGGCAACUUAUUUUGUUAAAAUAGUGUCAUGACUUAUUUUAAUAUUUAUCAUUGGUUCAAUGUGAUUGGUGGCUCGAACUUUGAUGCGU
rnacentral:lncRNA from 1 species